rnacentral:rRNA from 1 species
AUGAGCGCCGCCGCGGUGGCAAUCUCGUCGGGCCCGAGUUCCGAGAGGCUAGAGGCCAUCAUCACCGGCGCCGCCAGCGGCAUGGGCAAGGCGACCGCCGCGGAGUUCGUCAGGAACGGCGCCAAGGUCAUCCUCACCGACAUCCAGGACGACCUCGGCCGCGCAGUCGCCGCCGAGCUCGGCCCCGACGCCUCCUACGCCCGCUGCGACGUGACCAACGAGGAGCAGAUCGCCGCGGCCGUCGACCUCGCGGUGGCGCGCCACGGCCGGCUCGACGUCCUGCACAACCACGCCGGGGUCGCCGGGAGGAUGACCUUGGACUCCGUCGCGUCCCUCGACCUCGCGUAG